rnacentral:misc_RNA from 1 species
CAGGAAGUAAAAGUCGUAACAAGGUCUCCGUAGGUGAACCUGCGGAGGGAUCAUUACCGAGCGAGGGCCUCCGGGUCCGACCUCUCAACCCCAUGUUAUCCGACACUGUUGCCUCGGGGGCGACCCGGCCUCACACGGGCGUCGGGGCCCCCGGCGGACCGUCAAACGCUGCAUCUGUGCGUCCGAGUCUUAUGAGAAAUCAAUCAAAACUUUCAACAACGGAUCUCUUGGUUCUAGCAUCGAUGAAGAACGCAGCGAAAUGCGAUAAGUAAUGUGAAUUGCAGAAUUCAGUGAAUCAUCGAAUCUUUGAACGCACAUUGCGCCCUCUGGUAUUCCGGGGGGCAUGCCUGUUCGAGCGUCAUUUCACCACUCCAGCCUCGCUGGGCCUUGGGCGCCGC